AUUGAACGCUGGCGGCAGGCCUAACACAUGCAAGUCGAACGAGUGGCGGCCGGGUGAGUAAUGUCUGGGAAACUGCCCUAUGGAGGGGGAUAACUACUGGAAACUGUAGCUAAUACCGCAUACUAUCAGAUGUGCCACUAUGGGAUUAGCUUGUUGGUGGGGUAACGGCUCACCGAGGCGACGAUCUCUAGCUGGUCUGAGAGGAUGACGAGCCACACUGGAACGGAGAAACGGCCAAGACGCCUACGGGAGGCAGCAGUGGGGAAUAGUGCACAAUGGGCGCAAGCCUGAUGCAGCCAUGCCGCGUGUAUGAAGAAGGCCUUCGGGGUGUAAAGCACUUGAAGUUGGGAGGCGUUACCUGCAGAAUAAGCACCGGCUAACUUCGUGCCAGCAGCCGCGGUAAUAC
rnacentral:rRNA from 1 species